AAGUGUGGCUGAAGAGCUUGUUAAUGAAGACACCCUCAAGCCAUCACAAUCAUGAUUAGCUGUGCUAACUGGCUUCAAGCUUCCUAGAAGAGUCAAAGAAACCUUAGAACAAUGCCACCCACCUCCGGGGAGAUUUUCCACCACUGGGAACCAUACAUUUUGGCUUGUGCCAACAGCAUCCUAUCCCCAAACCGAAUCAAGCCAUGAAGAGCCUUCUCUUUGCACUAGAUGAGUUUAAGAGCCCCCCUGCUUCCUGAACAUGGCACCUUCCUCCCAAGGAAUGAUGGAAAGAAGGAGAAAAGGCAGAGCUUCUCCAGAGCUGUGGUGCUUGGUUGCUUGACUUAUUUUGAUUGCAAACUCCCUUCUUCCUAUUUCAAACUUUUAAUUGUGGAAAAAAUACAUUUGGGAGAUAGCAGCUGGUAUCCUGACACCAUGACCACUCAGCCCUGCACUGUCCCCGAUCAUCACUUAGCUAGGGAAAUCCCAUUCUCCCCUGAAGGGACUAAGUGAAGGCAUCAUCUUCCUCCCAGAAAUUAGGCUCCAGUGAGCCCACUGCCAUGUAUAGUCAUAUCUAAUAAAGGGGAAGAAUCUCAGACUGUGCCUCAAAGGAAGGGGCAUGUCUGAGGUCUGUGGAUGUCCCAUGCUCUGGAACUGCACUACCCUUUGUAAGAAGAGGAUCUAACAGGGCCGUGGCACUCGAGUCAGGCCUCGUGUCUGCAGGGCAGCAGUGUCAGAGCGUGGCCCUUUGGGUCACAUGCCUUGGGCACUUCUAGAAAGUUCUAGCUGGAGGUGGGUGAAUUAUUUGUCCCCCGCUCCAGCAAAACCAAAACUAAAAAAUGUGUGAGAGAAUCAGUUACACAAAAUCUGCCUAGCUCCCAGCGCUGGGCUCAAUCUAACAUGCCCUCCUGCCUUUAGGGGCUCACCCCUUCCUCUUUUUCCUCCCUUUGUAAACUCCCCUGCAGGUGUGAAUUUUUGAGCAAUUGUGGCUUUUUUGAGUGUGUGUGGAUGUUUCGGUAAGAAACACUUCCAGCUGAAACAUCUGUGGAAAAAAUUAAUAUUGCGGGUACAAAAUCUCGUGAACCAAAGUGCUGAAAACUUUCCCUCAACUUUUGACAUAACUAAUGUUGCUCCAGGAAAAUUAAAAGUUACAGUAUAUGUCCUUGCAUACACAAUAUGGCCACAUUCAUAGC